GCAGGUCUUCUUAUCGCUCUAAUUUUAGAGAGGAAAGUCCGGACACCAUAGAGCAGUAUAGCGGGUAACACCCGUCGAUUAUCUUUGUGAUAAUUAGGACUAGUGCAACAGAAAGAAUGUACAGAUAAGGCUGUAGUGAAAUCAUGUAAACUCUAUACGGUGAAACGCCAAAUAAAUCUGCGCUUAAGAAUUGCUCGUUCUUUGUAGAAGGGUAGGCGGUUUGAGUUUUUAAGUAAUUAAAAACCAAGAUAAAUNAUAAGACUCGACAGAAUCCGGCUUAUGGCCUGCACUU
rnacentral:RNase_P_RNA from 1 species